rnacentral:rRNA from 1 species
CGAGCAGUGGGGAAGUAUUGCACAAUGGGGGGAAACCCUGAUGCAGCGACGCCGCGUGAGUGAAGAAGUAUUUCGGUAUGUAAAGCUCUAUCAGCAGGGAAGAAAAUGACGGUACCUGACUAAGAAGCCCCGGCUAACUACGUGCC